GACGAACGCUGGCGGCGUGCUUAACACAUGCAAGUCGAACGGAAAGGCCCUUCGGGGUCCUCGAGUGGCGAACGGGUGAGUAACACGUGGGUGCUCUGCCCUGCACUUUGGGAUAAGCCUGGGAAACUGGGUCUAAUACCGAAUAUGAUCAUCGGCUUCAUGGUCGGUGGUGGAAAGCUUUUGCGGUGUGGGAUGGGCCCGCGGCCUAUCAGCUUGUUGGUGGGGUAAUGGCCUACCAAGGCGACGACGGGUAGCCGGCCUGAGAGGGUGACCGGCCACACUGGGACUGAGAUACGGCCCAGACUCCUACGGGAGGCAGCAGUGGGGAAUAUUGCACAAUGGGCGCAAGCCUGAUGCAGCGACGCCGCGUGAGGGAUGACGGCCUUCGGGUUGUAAACCUCUUUCAGCACAGACGAAGCGCAAGUGACGGUAUGUGCAGAAGAAGGACCGGCCAACUACGUG
rnacentral:rRNA from 1 species